GACGAACGCUGGCGGCGUGCUUAACACAUGCCAGUCGAACGGAAAGGCCCUGCUUUUGUGGGGUGCUCGAGUGGCGAACGGGUGAGUAACACGUGAGUAACCUGCCCUUGACUUUGGGAUAACUUCAGGAAACUGGGGCUAAUACCGGAUAGGAGCUCCUGCUGCAUGGUGGGGGUUGGAAAGUUUCGGCGGUUGGGGAUGGACUCGCGGCUUAUCAGCUUGUUGGUGGGGUAGUGGCUUACCAAGGCUUUGACGGGUAGCCGGCCUGAGAGGGUGACCGGACACAUUGGGACUGAGAUACGGCCCAGACUCCUACGGGAGGCAGCAGUGGGGAAUCUUGCACAAUGGGCGGAAGUCUGAUGCAGCAACGCCGCGUGCGGGAUGACGGCCUUCGGGUUGUAAACCGCUUUCGCCUGUGACGAAGCGUGAGUGACGGUAAUGGGUAAAGAAGCACCGGCUAACUACGUG
rnacentral:rRNA from 1 species